CAGUCAAAUAUUUAUCCCAUGAAGUAACCGCUGCUCACGUCACCCGCUCGCGUCAUCAGCUGAUGGACUCGUCCAAUCAGAGCCUCGUAAACGCCGUGCAGCAGCGUCGAGUGUCCCGCAGACAGGAAGCGGGUCGUGUUUAGCUUGUCCCGUACGAGUGACUCUGUCUUCGGGGUAAAUAACUUGCUGAAAUCGACACGACGCUGUUCCCUGGAGGAGAAGAUGAGUGCGUGUGGAGGCAGAGCCGCGGGCCCGGUGUGGACGAGUCGAGGCGGAGAAGACGGGCGCACAGUCCCUGAGUUACGCCUCAGCCCCCCCCCCCCCACACACACACAAACAAAGAGGCGUUAGGCUGAGUCGCUGAAAGUCCGGAUUUAAAGUGCAGAAAAUUAAGCCAUUGAAUCUGCCUGUCCAUGACGUACAAAGACACACUAUGAGCCAGUAUGAUCCGACCAGACCUUACAUCAGCAUUGAGGAGUUGUCGGAGAAGAAAGAGGCUGAUUGAAGCGGGACAGAUGACAUGGAUCCAUCCUUCCACAGCCAGGAGUGCACCGACCUGUGUCCCACACUUCAUAUAAGACUGGAAGCUACACUGAUCUCACAGCUACACACCACAGACGUCUACACACUGGAGAAGAGUCCCACAAAGAAGUCAUGACCCAGAGGCUGCAGAGAAACAUUUCAAGCCUCAUCUGAGUUUUUGUACAAUAUUUUUGCUGUAUGUAAAUAAAGCUUUCACUCCACAUA